GUGCUUGCUUGGGUAACACAUAUACUAAAAUUAGAAUAAUGCAAAAAAGAUUAGUAUGGCCCUUGCACAAGGAAGAUUUACAAAUUCAUGAAGUAUUUUUAUUUCAG
rnacentral:snRNA from 1 species